CUAAAUGAGUACACUUGGGACACACAGACAGACACAACACAAUUGAACAUAUCCACCUUGUCUUUAAUAAACAUUUUUCCCAAUUCUGAAU
ensembl:ncRNA B0025.8 ncRNA